rnacentral:lncRNA from 1 species
CUUUCUCGGCAGCGCCGUAGAGCGCGAGCAGACGGUGCAGCAUGGCGCACAGCGGAGGCCGCGGGCGGCCGAACCCGGCGUGUCCUUGGGCGUUUCCAGCAUGUAGGUGGCUGUAGUGGAUGUCCAACUUUGGGAGCUGUGAUGUCUAAAAACCCUUUAUUGUUUUGGCUUACAUAUUGGAAGGUAAAAUGAAGGCCAUGAACAAAGUCAAGAAGCCAUAAACAGAAGCAAAUGGUGAAAAUUAAUAUCUAAUUUAAUAUUAAUAAGUUAUAUAUAAAUAAACAGUUAUUCUUAA